GGGUUGUGAGGUUAAGCGACUAAGCGUACACGGUGGAUGCCUAGGCAGUCAGAGGCGAUGAAGGGCGUGCUAAUCUGCGAUAAGCGUCGGUAAGCUGAUAUGAAGCGUUAUACCCGACGAUACCCGAAUGGGGAAACCCAGUGUGUUUCGACACACUAUCAUUAUGUGAAUACAUAGCAUAAUGAGGCGAACCGGGGGAACUGAAACAUCUCAGUACCCCGAGGAAAAGAAAUCAACCGAGAUUCCCCCAGUAGCGGCGAGCGAACGGGGAGGAGCCCAGAACCUGAAUCAGUUUGUGUGUUAGUGGAAGCGUCUGGAAAGUCGCACAGUAAAGGGUGAUAGUCCCGUACACAAAAAUGCACAAGUUGUGAGUUCGAUGAGUAGGGCGGGACACGUGACAUCCUGUCUGAAUAUGGGGGGACCAUCCUCCAAGGCUAAAUACUCCUGACUGACCGAUAGUGAACCAGUACCGUGAGGGAAAGGCGAAAAGAACCCCGGCGAGGGGAGUGAAAUAGAACCUGAAACCGUGUACGUACAAGCAGUGGGAGCCUACUAGUUAGGUGACUGCGUACCUUUUGUAUAAUGGGUCAGCGACUUAUAUUCUGUAGCAAGGUUAACCGUAUAGGGGAGCCGCAGGGAAACCGAGUCUUAACUGGGCGUUAAGUUGCAGGGUAUAGACCCGAAACCCGGUGAUCUAGCCAUGGGCAGGUUGAAGGUUGGGUAACACUAACUGGAGGACCGAACCGACUAAUGUUGAAAAAUUAGCGGAUGACUUGUGGCUGGGGGUGAAAGGCCAAUCAAACCGGGAGAUAGCUGGUUCUCCCCGAAAGCUAUUUAGGUAGCGCCUCGUGAAUUCAUCUUCGGGGGUAGAGCACUGUUUCGGCUAGGGGGUCAUCCCGACUUACCAACCCGAUGCAAACUACGAAUACCGAAGAAUGUUAUCACGGGAGACACACGGCGGGUGCUAACGUUCGUCGUGAAGAGGGAAACAACCCAGACCGCCAGCUAAGGUCCCAAAGUCAUGGUUAAGUGGGAAACGAUGUGGGAAGGCAUAGACAGCCAGGAUGUUGGCUUAGAAGCAGCCAUCAUUUAAAGAAAGCGUAAUAGCUCACUGGUCGAGUCGGCCUGCGCGGAAGAUGUAACGGGGCUAAACCAUGCACCGAAGCUGCGGCAGCGACACUUAGGUGUUGUUGGGUAGGGGAGCGUUCUGUAAGCCUGCGAAGGUGGCCUGUGAGGGCUGCUGGAGGUAUCAGAAGUGCGAAUGCUGACAUAAGUAACGAUAAUGCGGGUGAAAAACCCGCACGCCGGAAGACCAAGGGUUCCUGUCCAACGUUAAUCGGGGCAGGGUGAGUCGACCCCUAAGGCGAGGCUGAAAAGCGUAGUCGAUGGGAAACAGGUUAAUAUUCCUGUACUCGGUGUUACUGCGAAGGGGGGACGGAGAAAGCUAGGUUAUCCGGGCGACGGUUGUCCCGGUUUAAGCGUGAAGGUGGAUGACUUUGGUAAAUCCGGGUCAUCAUUAACACUGAGGCGUGAUGACGAGUCACUACGGUGAUGAAGUAACCGAUGCUACGCUUCCAGGAAAAGCCUCUAAGCUCCAGGUAACAUCAAAUCGUACCCCAAACCGACACAGGUGGUCAGGUAGAGAAUACUCAGGCGCUUGAGAGAACUCGGGUGAAGGAACUAGGCAAAAUGGUGCCGUAACUUCGGGAGAAGGCACGCUGAUGGUAGGUGAAGUGACUUGCUCAUGGAGCUGAAAUCAGUCGAAGAUACCAGCUGGCUGCAACUGUUUAAUAAAAACACAGCACUGUGCAAACACGAAAGUGGACGUAUACGGUGUGACGCCUGCCCGGUGCCGGAAGGUUAAUUGAUGGGGUCAGCCGCAAGGCGAAGCUCUUGAUCGAAGCCCCGGUAAACGGCGGCCGUAACUAUAACGGUCCUAAGGUAGCGAAAUUCCUUGUCGGGUAAGUUCCGACCUGCACGAAUGGCGUAAUGAUGGCCAGGCUGUCUCCACCCGAGACUCAGUGAAAUUGAACUCGCUGUGAAGAUGCAGUGUACCCGCGGCAAGACGGAAAGACCCCGUGAACCUUUACUAUAGCUUGACACUGAACCUUGAGCCUUGAUGUGUAGGAUAGGUGGGAGGCUUUGAAGCGUGGACGCCAGUCUGCGUGGAGCCAACCUUGAAAUACCACCCUUUAAUGUUUGAUGUUCUAACGUGGACCCGUGAUCCGGGUUGCGGACAGUGUCUGGUGGGUAGUUUGACUGGGGCGGUCUCCUCCCAAAGCGUAACGGAGGAGCACGAAGGUUAGCUAAUCCUGGUCGGACAUCAGGAGGUUAGUGCAAAGGCAUAAGCUAGCUUGACUGCGAGAGUGACAGCUCGAGCAGGUGCGAAAGCAGGUCUUAGUGAUCCGGUGGUUCUGAAUGGAAGGGCCAUCGCUCAACGGAUAAAAGGUACUCCGGGGAUAACAGGCUGAUACCGCCCAAGAGUUCAUAUCGACGGCGGUGUUUGGCACCUCGAUGUCGGCUCAUCACAUCCUGGGGCUGAAGUAGGUCCCAAGGGUAUGGCUGUUCGCCAUUUAAAGUGGUACGCGAGCUGGGUUUAGAACGUCGUGAGACAGUUCGGUCCCUAUCUGCCGUGGGCGUUGGAAGAUUGAGAGGGGUUGCUCCUAGUACGAGAGGACCGGAGUGAACGCACCACUGGUGUACGGGUUGUGAUGCCAAUUGCAUUGCCCGGUAGCUAAGUGCGGAAGAGAUAACCGCUGAAAGCAUCUAAGCGGGAAACUUGCCUCGAGAUGAGUCUUCCCUGGGUACUUGAUACCCCUGAAGGGCCGUUGAAGACGACGACGUAGAUAGGCUGGGUGUGUAAGCGUAGCGAUACGUUGAGCUAACCAGUACUAAUGACCCGAGAGGCUUAACCUUACAACACCGAAGGUGUUU
rnacentral:rRNA from 1 species